UUAAUACCCAAUCCUGACACAGGGAGGUAGUGACAAGAAAUAACAAUACGGGGCUUGAAGUCUUGUAAUUGGAAUGAUGGGAAUUUAAACCCCUUCCAGAGUAUCAAUUGGAGGGCAAGUCUGGUGCCAGCAGCCGCGGUAAUUCCAGCUCCAAUAGCGUAUAUUAAACUUGUUGCAGUUAAAAAGCUGGUAGUUGAAUUUCUGCUGUUUCGUUGUCUGCGUUUGGCGUUUGUCAUCUUUGCUGCUUGGUUGGGUUUCGAUUAUUCGUUUCCCGGCGUUUACUUUGAGAAAAUUAGAAGGCUUGAAGCAGGCUUUUGCCUUGAAUACUUUAAGAUGGAAUAAAUGAAUAAGAAUUUGGUUCUAUUUUGUUGGUUUUAGGAGCCAGAAUAAUGGUUAAUAGGAACAGUUGGGGGCAUUCGUAUUUAAAA
rnacentral:rRNA from 1 species